UAAAGAUUCAUCGCUGAUAGAUAGGCAUGCGUUCCAUUAGGCAGUUGGCGGGGUAACGGCCCACCAAACCGACGAUGGAUAGGGGUUCUGAGAGGAAGGUCCCCCACAUUGGUACUGAGACACGGACCAAACUCCUACGGGAGGCAGCAGUGAGGAAUAUUGGUCAAUGGGCGUAAGCCUGAACCAGCCAAGUCGCGUGAGGGAUGAAGGUUCUAUGGAUCGUAAACCUCUUUUAUAAGGGAAUAAAGUGUGGGACGUGUCCUAUUUUGUAUGUACCUUAUGAAUAAGGAUCGGCUAACUCCGUGCCAGCAGCCGCGGUAAUACGGAGGAUCCGAGCGUUAUCCGGAUUUAUUGGGUUUAAAGGGUGCGUAGGCGGCCUUUUAAGUCAGCGGUGAAAGUCUGUGGCUCAACCAUAGAAUUGCCGUUGAAACUGGGGGGCUUGAGUAUGUUUGAGGCAGGCGGAAUGCGUGGUGUAGCGGUGAAAUGCGUAGAUAUCACGCAGAACCCCGAUUGCGAAGGCAGCCUGCCAAGCCAUGACUGACGCUGAUGCACGAAAGCGUGGGGAUCAAACAGGAUUAGAUACCCUGGUAGUCCACGCAGUAAACGAUGAUCACUAGCUGUUUGCGAUACAGUGUAA
rnacentral:rRNA from 1 species